UUUGUUUUCUUCUACUAUAUAAGCCAACCCUGUAAUCUGUAGGAUAAACCUCUACUGAAGUCUUCCGUCUGUCUACGAUCUCAGCACCAACUGAGCUACCCGGUACUAGCCCAAACAUGUUCACCUUGAAGAAAUCCAUGUUACUCCUUUUCUUUCUUGGGACCAUCAACUUAUCUCUCUGUGAGGAAGAGAGAGAUGCCAAUGAAGAAGAGGAAAAUGGAGGGGAAGUUAAAGAGGAAGAAAAGCGAUUUAUAGGUUCCGCUCUAAAAGUACUCGCGGGUGUACUGCCUUCAGUGAUUUCUUGGGUUAAACAGGGUUAAAAAGUUGACUAAGUUUAAAAAGUAACAUUUCUGAAUGUUAAAACUGUCAUCUGAUGUGGAAUAUCAUUUAGCUAAAUGUUAAAUGUCUGAUAAAAAAUAAAAAUAUCACCCGCA